UACAGAGGGUGCGAGCGUUGUUCGGAAUUAUUGGGCGUAAAGGGCGCGUAGGCGGUGCGGUAAGUCACCUGUGAAAUCUCCUGGCUUAACUGGGAGCCUGCAGGCGAAACUACCGUGCUGGAGUGUGGGAGAGGUGCGUGGAAUUCCCGGUGUAGCGGUGAAAUGCGCAGAUAUCAGGAAGAACACCCGUGGCUAAGGCGGCUCUCUAGUACGGUGCUGACGCUGAGACGCGAAAGCGUGGGGAGCGAACAGG
rnacentral:rRNA from 1 species